rnacentral:misc_RNA from 1 species
GAUGAAGAACGUAGCGAAAUGCGAUACGUAAUGUGAAUUGCAGAAUUCAGUGAAUCAUCGAGUCUUUGAACGCACAUUGCGCCCCCUGGUAUUCCGGGGGGCAUGCCUGUCCGAGCGUCAUUGCUGCCCUCAAGCCCGGCUUGUGUGUUGGGUCUCGUCCCCCUUCCCGGGGGGACGGGCCCGAAAGGCAGCGGCGGCACCGCGUCCGGUCCUCGAGCGUAUGGGGCUUUGUCACCCGCUCUGUAGGCCCGGCCGGCGCUUGCCGAUCAACCAAAACUUUUUUCCAGGUUGACCUCGGAUCAGGUAGGGAUACUCGCUGAACUUAAGCAUAUCAAUAAGCGGAGGA